GCCUGGGAGGUGUAGUAGUAGUAGCACGCGUUCCGACCAUGGAUGGAACGCGGGUUCGAUUCUCGCCCGAGGCU